rnacentral:lncRNA from 1 species
GGAACACUGGGUUGCUCACUGUUGUUGAUGAUACCGCAAUAGAGCAGCAAACUAAGGAGGUCUUGACAGCAAUGUGCGUGGCUUUCAACUCGAAAACGGUGAUGAACAGGGCUCCAGAAAAAAUCUCAAUGGAGAUCCUAGCUAUCAGACAGAACAUGGUGACCUUGGCUGCAAAUGAAGAGGUUGUGGCUGCUUUGACUUUGGCUAUGGACUUGGUGUCCUCGUCAAUUAGCACAAGAGAUGCUGCUCCAAUGGAGGAGACAGAGGUAACCACAUCACAGGACUCGACGAUCUUUGAUGUCAGGAUUGCAGGUGUCAACACGGUAAUUGAGUUGGCUGCUGAUGGGGCACAACUUGAUGCCGCACAUACCAUCAUUGCUGAAGCAAAGGUGCAAGUAGAAGCAGGUGGGAAGCAUCCCUCUCAAGAAGUUAGACAACGCUCUCGUCAACCGAUUGAUCCUACACCAACACGUCAAAGUGAACUACAGAAGACAAUGCUAAACGAGAAAACUGAUUAGCACAUAUUUG